rnacentral:rRNA from 1 species
AGCGAACGCUGGCGGCAUGCCUAACACAUGCGAGUCGCACGGGGGGGCUUCGGCCUCCCAGUGGCGGACGGGUGAGGAACGCGUAGGGACCUGUCGAGGGGUGGGGGAUAACCGCGGGAAACUGCGGCUAAUACCGCAUGACGCCGCGGCGUGACAGCCGGGGCCAAAGGCGAAAGCCGCCCGCCGAGGGGCCUGCGUCCGAUUAGCUGGUUGGCGGGGUAGCGGCCCACCAAGGCGUCGAUCGGUAGCUGGUCUGAGAGGGUGAUCAGCCACACCGGGACUGAGACACGGCCCGGACUCCUACGGGAGGCAGCAGUGGGGAAUAUUGGACAAUGGGCGCAAGCCUGAUCCAGCAAUGCCGCGUGGGUGAAGAAGGUCUUCGGAUUGUAAAGCCCUUUCGGCGGGGACGAUGGUGACGGUACCCGCAGAAGAAGCCCCGGCUAACUUCGUG